UACGGGGGGAGCAAGCGUUGUUCGGAUUUACUGGGCGUAAAGGGCGCGUAGGCGGCCACCGCAAGUCGACUGUGAAAUCUCCGGGCUUAACCCGGAAAGGUCAGCCGAUACUGCGGGGCUAGAGUGCAGAAGGGGCAACUGGAAUUCUCGGUGUAGCGGUGAAAUGCGUAGAUAUCAGGAGGAACACCGGUGGCGAAGGCGGCUACCUGGACAGAGUCUGACGCUGAGGCACGAAAGCUAGGGGAGCAAACAGG
rnacentral:rRNA from 1 species